AUGAACCAACGAAAAAAGGUGGUUAGACCACCUUUCAAUAUG
rfam:Chimeric Dengue virus vector p4-D2-ME, complete sequence